UACGUAGGGUGCAAGCGUUGUCCGGAAUUAUUGGGCGUAAAGAGCUCGUAGGCGGUUUGUUGCGUCGGCUGUGAAAUCCCGAGGCUCAACCUCGGGUCUGCAGUCGAUACGAGCAAACUAGAGUGUUGCAGGGGAGACUGGAAUUCCUGGUGUAGCGGUGAAAUGCGCAGAUGUCAGAAGGAACAUCAGUGGCGAAGGCGGCUUCCUGGACCAAUACUGACGAUCAGGUGCGAAAGCGUGGGGAGCAAACAGG
rnacentral:rRNA from 1 species